rnacentral:rRNA from 1 species
UACGGAAGGCAGCAGUGGGGAAUAUUGCACAAUGGGCGAAAGCCUGAUGCAGCUACGCCGCGUGUAUGAAGAAGGCCUUAGGGGUUGUAAAGUACUUUCAUCGGGGAGGAAAAAACAAAACUAAUAAUUUUAUUUCUUGACGUUACCCGAAAAAGAAGCACCGGCUAACUCCGUGCCAGCAGCCGCGGUAAUACGGAGGGUGCUAGCGUUAAUCAGAAUUACUGGGCGUAAAGAGCACGUAGGUGGUUUUUUUAAGUCAGAUGUGAAAUCCCUGGGCUUAACCUAGGAACUGCAUUUUGAAACUGAAAUACUAGAGUAUCGUAGAGGGAGGUAGAAUUCUAGGUGUAGCGGUGAAAUGCGUAGAUAUCUGGAGGAAUACCUGUGGCGAAAGCGGCCUCCUAAACGAAUACUGACACUGAGGGUGCGAAAGCGUGGGGAGCAAACAGGGAUUAGAUACC